rnacentral:rRNA from 1 species
AGACAAUAAAGAACCCGGUGACAGGUGCUGCAUGGCUGUCGUCAGCUCGUGUCGUGAGAUGUUGGGUUAAGUCCCGCAACGAGCGCAACCCUCGCCUUUAGUUGCCAGCAUUCAGUUGGGCACUCUAGAGGGACUGCCGGUGUCAAACCGGAGGAAGUGGGAUGACGUCAAGUCCUCAUGGCCUUUAUGACCAGGGCUACACACGUACUACAAUGGCAGGUACAAAGGGCAGCCACUUAGCGAUAAGGCGCGAAUCCCAUAAAACCUGUCUCAGUCCGGAUUGGAGUCUGCAACUCGACUCCAUGAAGUUGGAAUCGCUAGUAAUCGCAGAUCAGCACGCUGCGGUGAAUACGUUCCCGGGCCUU